GACGUAGGGCGCGAGCGUUGUCCGGAUUUAUUGGGCGUAAAGAGCGUGUAGGCGGCUAGGUAGGUCCGUUGUGAAAACUCGAGGCUCAACCUCGAGACGUCGAUGGAAACCAUCUAGCUAGAGUCCGGAAGAGGAGAGUGGAAUUCCUGGUGUAGCGGUGAAAUGCGCAGAUAUCAGGAAGAACACCCGUGGCGAAGGCGGCUCUCUGGUACGUGACUGACGCUGAGACGCGAAAGCGUGGGGAGCAAACAGG
rnacentral:rRNA from 1 species